GCAUGGUUCCGUGCUGCACCCUACAUCUCACUGCACACAUCCACGUUCAGCACAGCUGCUGCGACAGGCGAUAACGGCACCUGAAGCAAACCCUGGGGACAGCCAUCUGCAAAUCUCUAAAUGUCCCUUCCAACCCAUACCAUUCUAUGAUUCUGUUGAUAAAUGAUGGCCUGUAACACCACACACCCUGGGCAUAUGCUAAGCCUUGCUCAGAGCAAGCACAGCUCUUAGUGAAGGCACUGCACAUGCUCGGCUCCUUCACACAAAAUUAGUGUAGGAAACGCAGAGUAUGUUAAAACUGUUGGGGCGAGUGAAAAGUGUGAACUGAGUAGGGGAGGUGGAUAACUUCCCACAACUAAAAUCUGUAUCUUCAGAGGGGUCCUCUCUGACCCAUUUGGUAGGGCAUUACUGGAUGCAGGCUCGCUGAUCAGGAAAUAGUGAUCAGCUAAAAGUUCCCUUCCCCUGGGGAUUUCUCUGCUGUGUCACACAGAGCUUUUUGGCAAGGUGGCAGUUUUCAGCCCUUCUACCCUCCUCCUGGCAGAACCACAGGUUGUGGCCACAGACGAUGAAGCUGGAGAUAGAAAUAGGUUUUCCACUGAGACACUUCAACAACUAUCAUCUCUCGCAUGUGUGUUUCUGAAGCAGGACCUGCACACUAUCUCCCCUCCCAUGUGUCCCAAUCCUCCCUCUGAGAGCCUAAUCUCAUGUCACAACUUAUCCGGCUGGUCCUCGUGCUGCCUGCCCCACCCAGCCUGGGCCAGAUGUCCCUGGCCAAGGGGCCCUGGAAAGCCUGGAGGAUGCUUGCCUCGCACUCUAAGGAAGGCCCUCGUGCAGAACAAGGAGUGCCGCCAUGUGCCACCACGAGGGAAAAUCAACCAGAUGAAAUUCAGUAGCCAAAGGUACACAGCACCCUGCUAAAGAAGAUCAGCUAUGCGUAUACCAAGAUGGGGAGCAAGGGGCAACGGUGGAAGAAAAGGUGCUGUGGGCUGUAAUGAGUUGCAAACUAUCUGAGCACCUGCUAGGUGUUGUGGCACGGGGCAGUCCUAGAUGCUGGAGUCAGCCUGAAGAAGAGCAACUAGAGCUACAAAGCUCGACAUACAAAAAAUGGAUCUGCUGGAUUUUACUGAGGACACAAGAGAUCGCAUCUGAAGAUCUAGUGGGGAAUCCCUGAGUAAAAUUUGGCCUUCCUUGCUGCCUUCGUGGUUUGGAGAAGGAGGAGGAUUCACCGCUUCCUCGUACAGGCCCGAGUGCUCCUCUUGAAUAGCUGGACCCAACCCAAAAGCAGAAGGAAGUGUAUUUUAAAAAAACAGAGGUGGGGUAAUGACACUAUGGCACUUUACAUGUGUUGUGUAAUCCAUGGUGUGUGCGUGGCUCCUGAAAAGCCUGCUGCCCAGUCGCGGUUAAGUCACUCCUUGAAAACAACAAUAAAACCCUAUGAAGCUGUCUGGCUAGAA